UACGAAGGGGGCUAGCGUUGCUCGGAAUUACUGGGCGUAAAGGGAGCGUAGGCGGAUCGUUAAGUUGGGGGUGAAAGCCCGGGGCUCAACCUCGGAAUUGCCUUCAAUACUGGCGAUCUUGAGUAUGGGAGAGGUGUGUGGAACUCCGAGUGUAGAGGUGAAAUUCGUAGAUAUUCGGAAGAACACCAGUGGCGAAGGCGACACACUGGCCCAUUACUGACGCUGAGGCUCGAAAGCGUGGGAGCAAACAGG
rnacentral:rRNA from 1 species